AUCGAACGCUGGCGGCAGGCCUAACACAUGCAAGUCGAGCGAGCUGCGGACGGGUGAGUAAUGUCUGGGAAACUGGCUGAUGGAGGGGGAUAACUACUGGAAACGGUAACUAAUAACGGCUACCAUUAGAUGAGCCCAGGUGUGCUUAGCUAGUCGGUUGGGUAACGGCUCACCUAGGCAACGAUCCCUCGCUGGUCUGAGAGGUUGACCAGCCACCCUGGAACUGAAACCGGGUCCAGACUCUCACGGGAGGAAGCAUGGGGGAAUAUUGCACAAUGGGCGAAAGCCUGAUGCAGCCAUGCCGCGUGUUUGAAGAAGUCCUUCGGGUGGUAAAGCACUUUCAUCGGGGAGGCGUUACCCGCAGAAGAAGCACCGGCUAACUCCGUGCCAGCAGCCGCGGUAAUUC
rnacentral:rRNA from 1 species